rnacentral:rRNA from 1 species
AAAACAUUUCUUCUUUUUAAUACAUGAAGUAAGCCCUGUUCCAUGAAUUUUAAAUAACCGCAAAAUUUAAUUGUGCAAAGGUAGCAUAAUAAUUUUCUUUUUAAUUGAAAGGUUGGAUGAAUGGGUAAACAAGAUACUUACUGUGUUUAUACGAAUAAAGAAAUUUACUAAGAAGUGAAAAUGCUUUUUUAAUUUAAAGGGACGACAAGACCCUGGGAACUUAUUAUAUAUAUGAAAACCUUUAAAAUAUUUUUAGCUGGGGUGGCAAUUAUUUAAAACAAAAAUUAAACAAUACACAUGUGUGAAUUUUUUGACGGUAACUUGAAUAAAAAGAACUAAGUUACCCCAGGGAUAACAGCACAAUAACUUUUAAGAGCUCUUAUCUAAGAAGUUUGUUGUGACCUCGAUGUUGAAUUAAAUAUACCACUUGGAGUAGCAGAUAAAUGGGUGAGUUUGUUCAACUCUUAAAUGUUUACGUGAUCUG